rnacentral:rRNA from 1 species
GACGAACGCUGGCGGCGUGCCUAAUACAUGCAAGUAGAACGCUGAAGGAGGAGCUUGCUUCUCUGGAUGAGUUGCGAACGGGUGAGUAACGCGUAGGUAACCUGCCUGGUAGCGGGGGAUAACUAUUGGAAACGAUAGCUAAUACCGCAUAAUAGCAGUUGUUGCAUGACAACUGUUUGAAAGGUGCAAUUGCACCACUACCAGAUGGACCUGCGUUGUAUUAGCUAGUUGGUGGGGUAACGGCUCACCAAGGCGACGAUACAUAGCCGACCUGAGAGGGGGAUCGGCCACACUGGGACUGAGACACGGCCCAGACGCCUACGGGAGGCAGCAGUAGGGAAUCUUCGGCAAUGGGCGGAAGUCUGACCGAGCAACGCCGCGUGAGUGAAGAAGGUUUUCGGAUCGUAAAGCUCGGUUGUAAGAGAAGAACGAGUGUGAGAGUGGAAAGUUCACACUGUGACAGUAUCUUACCAGAAAGGGACGGCUAACUACGUG